GACGAACGCUGGCGGCGUGCUUAACUCAUGCAAGUCGAACGGAAAUGCCCUGCUUUUGUGGGGUGCUCGAGUGGCGAACGGGUGAGUAACCCGUGAGUAACCUGCCCUUGACUUUGGGAUAACUUCAGGAAACUGGGGCUAAUACCGGAUAGGAGCUCCUGCUGCAUGGUGGGGGUGGGAAAGUUUCGGCGGUUGGGGAUGGACUCGCGGCUUAUCAGCUUGUUGGUGGGGUAGUGGCUUACCAAGGCUUUGACGGGUAGCCGGCCUGAGAGGGUGACCGGCCACAUUGGGACUGAGAUACGGCCCAGACUCCUACGGGAGGCAGCAGUGGGGAAUAUUGCACAAUGGGCGGAAGCCUGAUGCAGCAACGCCGCGUGCGGGAUGACGGCCUUCGGGUUGUAACCCGCUUUCGCCUGUGACGAAGCGUGAGUGACGGUAAUGGGUAAAGAAGCACCGGCUAACUACGUG
rnacentral:rRNA from 1 species